rnacentral:rRNA from 1 species
CUUAAUUUGACUCAACACGGGGAAACUUACGAGGUCAGGACACUGUGAGGAUUGACAGAUUGAAAGCUCUUUCUUGAUUCAGUGGGUGGUGGUGCAUGGCCGUUCUUAGUUGGUGGAGUGAUUUGUCUGGUUAAUUCCGUUAACGAACGAGACUUUAACCUGCUAAAUAGUCACGCGAACCGGUCCGCAAGGGCUCAAAGUUCGCGGCUCGACUUCUUAGAGGGACUAUUCGCACCCGCCAGCGAAUGGAAGUUUGAGGCAAUAACAGGUCUGUGAUGCCCUUAGAUGUUCUCGGCCGCACGCGCGUUACACUGACGGAGUCAACGAGCGUUUUUCCUUGCCCGAUAGGGUUGGGUAACCUCCUGAAACUCCGUCGUGAUGGGGAUAGAUCAUUGCAAUUAUUGAUCUUGAACGAGGAAUUCCUAGUAGGCGCGAGUCAUCAACUCGCGCCGAUUACGUCCCUGCCCUUUGUACACACCGCCCGUCGCUCCUACCGAUUGAACGGUCCGGCGAGAACUCCGGAUGGUCGGCACGCAGGGGUCAAACCCUGUGUCCGUGCCAGAAGCUGUUCGAACCUUACCGUUUAGAGGAAGGAGAAGUCGUAACAAGGUACC